AUUGAACGCUGGCGGCAGGCCUAACACAUGCAAGUCGAACGGUAACAGGAAGCAGCUUGCUGCUUUGCUGACGCGUGGCGGACGGGUGAGUCAUGUCUGGGAAACUGCCCGAUGGAGGGGGAUAACUACUGGAAACGGUAGCUAAUACCGCAUAACGUCGCAAGACCAAAGAGGGGGACCUUAGGGCUUCUUGCCUUCGGAUGUGCCCAGAUGGGAUUAGCUAGUAGGUGGGGUAACGGCUCACCUAGGCGACGAUCCCUAGCUGGUCUGAGAGGAUGACCAGCCACACUGGAACUGAGACACGGUCCAGACUCCUACGGGAGGCAGCAGUGGGGAAUAUUGCACAAUGGGCGCAAGCCUGAUGCAGCCAUGCCGCGUGUAUGAAGAAGGCCUUCGGGUUGUAAAGUACUUUCAGCGGGGAGGAAGGGAGUAAAGUUAAUACCUGUGCUCAUUGACGUUACCCGCAGAAGAAGCACCGGCUAACUCCGUG
rnacentral:rRNA from 1 species